rnacentral:rRNA from 1 species
UACGAAGGGGGCUAGCGUUGCUCGGAAUUACUGGGCGUAAAGCGCACGUAGGCGGCUUCUUAAGUCGGAUGUGAAAUCUCCGAGCUCAACUCGGAAACUGCAUUGGAAACUACCCUGCUAGAGGGUCGGAGGGGGGACUGGAAUACUUGGUGUAGCAGUGAAAUGCGUAGAUAUCAAGUGGAACACCAGUGGCGAAGGCGAGUCCCUGGACGACUCCUGACACUGAGGCACGAAAGCUAGGGGAGCAAACAGG